rnacentral:rRNA from 1 species
UACGUAGGGUGCGAGCGUUAUCCGGAUUCACUGGGUUUAAAGGGUGCGUAGGCGGGUAAGUAAGUCCGUGGUGAAAUCUCUGAGCUUAACUCAGAAACUGCCGUGGAUACUAUUUGCCUUGAAUAUUGUGGAGGUGAGCGGAAUAUGUCAUGUAGCGGUGAAAUGCUUAGAUAUGACAUAGAACACCAAUUGCGAAGGCAGCUCACUACACAAUCAUUGACGCUGAGGCACGAAAGCGUGGGGAUCAAACAGG